UAGAAAUUGUAGACUCAAAUGACUGCAGAAGUAACCCAGUGGGGCAGGUCAGAGACAUCGGGGGCCUGACAAGCUGGAGAGAACUUACGCUUCAUUUAAAGGGGAAAGCUGCAAGUUAUCAUGAGAAUAUAGGUUCGGUGUUGUCAGAUUUUCUGAUUCCUUGUGAGAAAACAGAAAACUGGAUUGUAAAAUUUAAAUGAAAUUUCUGGUAUGUAAAUGUUAGCAUGUGACUGUGGUCAGGCCUGCUGGGCUAUGCAGCUUGAAUAGACCUUGAAAUGACGUGGAGUCAUCAGUAGUGAUGUGUAUACUACUUCCCACCUUCCACCCCAACUCCCCAUCUGCCCUGACCCCUCCUGACAUGGAAUGAAAAGCAGUCUGGGGCAGUCUGGUCUUCCAACCCUAAUGCUGUGAGGGACAGAGUGCACUUCCAGGGAGUUGUGGUUACUUGCAUCCUCAGUCUGGUAUAGUUCCUGUGUACUUCUCUGGCUGACUAGACAGUCAGCCAAAGGGAAUGGAGGCCAAGUCCAUGUCAUCAGUCUCGCCAGCCUUGUAAUCUGGAUCAGUCUUUGCUCUUUGGCUUAGCUGAGCCAGGAAUUUUGUGUGCCAAACAAAACUUGUCUGCAGGCCAGUUUGCUACCUCUGGACCAUGUAAAUUUCACUGGUCCAGCAAACACUUAGUAAGUACUUACAAUGUACUAGGCACUGGGCCAUACCCUGGGGACACAAAGGUGAUUAGAAGUCAGCCUUCCCACUGGUAGCUCCCUCUGUCUGGUGUAACAAAUUUUUGUCAUACCACCAGACAAACACUUAGAUAGAGCCCCCUAAGAUGGCUAGUGGGGUGGAAUAAAUGAGAGAAGAGUUUCUUGAGGAGAUGAUGUUGAGCUUAGUUUGAAGGAUGGGUAGGAACAGUGGGGCAGAGGAACUAGAGUGGAGGGUAUACUAUAGAAACAGCAGAAGUGGAAAGUAGAGGGCAUGGGUGGGUGUCAUUCCAGGCACAAAGAAAAGCUCAGGCAAGUCAUGGAGGUGAGAGAGAGCAUGAAGCAGAACUGCUAGUUGGAGGCAGUAUGGAAAGGGGGUGAGUGGUGGGGAAUAAGGCUGGAGACAGGAACCUUGUGGUCAAAUCCUCAAAUACCUCAACAGACGUGCUGCAUAUGCAAAUAGAACAUGUUCAGUACCUUCAGACAUCCUACAUCUAGAGGCAGAAAAUGGCCGUCUAAAUAUAUAAAUGCAGUAAAAGCAUGCUUCUAAAAUGAUGGCAGGCACUAAGGUAUUUUAUGGAGUGGAGGAAUAAGAGCAGCUCUCCCUGGCAGCCAAAUAGGGGAUGAAUUAUGGGAGAAUUGAGAUUGGAAGUGGGGAAUUGAUUAGGAAGCCAUUGUAGGAAUUAAGCAGAUAAAUGAUGAGAGUGGAAUCAAGGCAGUGGAAAGAGGAAUGGAGAGAAAUGAUUAGAAUAAAGAAAUAUUUAUAAGGUUGACUUUGUAGGACCUGGUGAUAAUGGUGAAGAUAGGGCAUGGAACACAUGGGUGAGGAAGAACGAGUCACUGAAGAAAGCUCCCAGGUUCUUGCAUCCACUGAGCAGAAAAUUUAGAAAAGAGAUCAGGUUUGGAGAGUGUAGCAGAUGCUUUGGGGUGUUCCAUGUCACACCCCUCUAAGGUAAGGACAAGUUAUUACCCUUUGUAUAUACCACUAUUAUAAAGGAAACGUAGCCCUUGGUUUGUAUUUAGUGAGCAGUACAUGUGGAAAUACUGUUCUAGCCCAUUCAUUGGGUGACUUGGAGCAAGAGAUGGCUCUGCAGCAGGCCCAGGCUACAAUGCAAGCUGCCGUGCCACUUGGGUCAUAUGACCCAGCAAAUGCAGUGAUGCUAGGUAUUCAGGGUGGAUAAGGAAUCAGUGUGGAGUCUCCAGCAAGCCCUAAUAGAAGAGGUGUAGCAUGGAUCUUUGGAGUUCUGGAGCAAGGUUAUGCCUUCUGCAGCAGAGAAAUAGUCACCAUUUGAAAAGCAGCUCCCAGUUUGCUUUUAGUCCUGGUAGAGACAGAGCAUUUGACAUUGGCCAGGGCACCAAAGCUGCCCAUCAUGAGCUGGACCACUUAAGUCUUAAGGUCAGGCAGGCCCAGUAGCAAUCCAUUGUAAGAUGGAAGUGGUACAUUUAGAAUUGGGCUUGAGCAGAGCCAGAGGGCACAAGCAAGCUACAAGAAUAGAAUAGCUGCACAUGCCUCCUUCCCCAGACUUCCAAGUCACUUACCCCCAUUGCAUGGAUGAUUUCUCCCUUUGCUAACAUCAACGGUUUUCUUGUGGCCAGCUGAUAGAGGAAGAAACAUCCUAGGCCUAUUUCUUUGGGUUGGUGUUAGCUAAAAGCAGACUGCUGAUUUCACUACAGCCCUAGUCAGGGUAGCCCUGGAAGACAGUGGUUAGGGGAAUGCUCCCAGUAGGUGAACUUCCAGCAGGGCAUCUGCAAUCAACUUGGUGUAGAGGGAGAAGUGGCUUGAGAUAGGGAUGCAUAUGGAAUCUUGGGCAGUGGCAAAUUGGUUGGUUGGUUGGUUGGUUGGUUGGUUAAUUGGUCAGGGGCCUGGAAGGAAAAACACAAGAGUGGGCACAAAGUGUGUGCCUCUUAGUGUUUCACAUUAAUGUCUCCCAGAAAGCAUCCACCACAGAGGAGGCACUCAGCACUCAGGUAGACAACAUGCCUUAUCCAAUGGUCAGCCUUGCUCCUCAGCCAUCUCACAGCUAGCACAGGGAGCCCAUGACUUGAGUGGCCAUGAUAACAGGGAUGGAGGCUACUCAUGGGUCUAACAGCAUGGAUUCCCUGUUGCCACAGCUGCUCCAUCAGCACAGAGGCAGUUUCUGAGCCCUUGACCAGUCAGCUGCUAGAGGCAAGUUGAUGACAUCAGGGACCUUCUAGUGUUAAUCCAAGGGUUUACAAAGUGCCUGGUUGAUCUACAUGUGAUCCUGUAAUGUAUCACCUCAGACAAAGAGGCCCUUUUUAUGGUAAAGGAAGUGUGGCAGUGGUUGUAGACCAUAGGACCCACUGGUCUGGUAUGUACCAAAUUGCUGGAAGCAGUGGACCUGGUAGAAUGACUGAAUGGCUUAUUGAAAGUGGCAGCUCAAGGAUAAUGUGUUGUAAUCCAGGAUUCUGUCAUCCAGAGUACAGCUGAUAUGCAAUGCUGUGUCCUCAACUACUGGAAUAUACAGGUCCAGGAAUGAAAAGUGGAUGUAGGAUUGGUCCCUCUCACCAUCAUGCUGUGUGAUCCACUUGCAGCAGGUGGAAGGAUGUCUGCAACUCAGGAGAUUCACUCAAGAGUAUGUCUGGAACUUAGGAGACUGUCCUCUUGGGGGCUUCCACUAUUGUUGAUAUCAGAGAAUGGACCUUGCAGUAACCAUGGCCUAAGAAGGCCAAGUCAAUUGAGGUAUCAGACCACUUAGGGAUGUAGGUCUGGGUCACUUCAUCAAGUAAGCAACCUGGACCAGCUGAGUGCUAGUUAACAAUGAGGAAAACCUAGAGUAGGUGGUGGAGGAGGAAGAUAAUACACAGCAAUUUCAGACUCCAGACCUGCUGUAGCAGUGAGUGGGAUUAUAGUUUGUUCCACUAACUCCUCUACAAAGUAGUUUUGCUAGAAUAUUGCUGGCCACUGCGUUGAAGACUCAGUGACAGAAUGGACUUAAUCUGGGGUAUGAGUGGAUCCGAAUGGUUUAGAGAGUAGAAUGGAGCAGACCACUUUGGGUGCCCUGCACCACCUCUCCCCCUUCGUCAGCCUUUGAUUUCAGCUGUGGUAGACAGUUCUGUGUGAGCUUGGACUGAUGCUGACAGCAUCCCAAUUCAAGCACAAAUGAUGUGUCAUUCUGAUUUCUAUUCUGGGGCCUCCUCCAAAGCCACAGGAGUCUCUUUGGCCUGUGUGGUUCAAGCACAGCCCAGAAGUUAGGGAAGUUAAUGGCCCUGGGAUGACCCUCAGCAAGGAAGGAGGGGAGCCAGUGGAUAAAUGCACAAGCAUUGCAUCCUUUUAUUGAACAAUUCUGGGAGGCAUUCUGUAUGCUUCAGGAGAUCCCAAAGAUAAUUGAGCCCCCAUUGCACCCUUAGAUUGAUGAUGCACCCUUAGAUUGGCUUUUCUCCCUCACUUUCUCACUCUCUCCAAUUCAUUACUCCUCAUCUUCUGAGAUCACCUCGCAAUUAAACCACCCUCACCUAACUCCUUCUCAGGCUCUGCUUCUGGGAGAAUACAAACUAAGAUAUGGAAGAAGAGGCCAAGUUCAGUGUUAGCUUGACAUGCUGAAGUGUAUCUAGUGGAAAUGGGUAGCAGAUUGUGGCUGCAUGAAUUUGAGAAGUGUUGGUUUAUAUAUUAGCAUAUGGUGACAGAUAAAACCACAGGCACAAGUGAAAUAGCCCAGAGAAAACUCAUUGUUAAGGGGCCAGUGGAUGAAUGGCACCCAGUUCUAAGGCAGUAGUUUCAACCAGGGGUGAUUUUGCCCAUCCAGGGGACAUUUGACAUGCCUGAGGACAUUUUUCCUUGUCAAUUGAAACUCUUCUUCUCUGUGAAAUGCUCUGUGGAAAUCCAAAGUUCUCUCCGAGAUGUCUGUGGACUCCAGGAGUGUAGGUUCUUGAGAUCACCUCUGUCUCCUGGUUCCUGUAUCUGUAUGUGUUCCCUUUAUUCUGCCAUAGACUUAAACUUAGAUAUGAAACACUUCCCCUUCCUCUCGUUCUACAAUACUGACUCACACCAAGCACUGGAGAAUGUUGGCAGGGUUUGGAAUCUUGUAGUGCCUACCCUUUACCAUUUUGUGAACACCUUGUUCAUCCACUUCCCUUCACUGUCCCUCAUCUAUUUCCCUGCAAAUUACCCUCAUCUGAAAAUCCUUCUCCCUCUAUUUAUUCAGCCCUCCUGAGCUCCCACCCCCAAAUGGACUUAGCCCACACCCUCAUGGUGCACAGCGGAUAAGAAAACCUCGUAUUAACCAGAUUCAUCCUUCAAUAGAAGGUGCUUAUGGUUAAAAUAGUGAAAACGUUUCUGUUAGACUAUAAAUUCGGCUGCUAGAGUUUAGGGACCUCUAAGAUUUAUGCCCAAAACCACUGUAGCUGCUCAGGCUAAGCAAAGAAGGUCCCAGUCUUCAAAGACCGUUGUCUCAUCUUGUAAGGAGUAAGCUCUUCCUGGGACAGUGUAGGAAAAAGUUGAUUGAUAGAGCACAGCUAGUGGUAAAUAAGAGGCCCAGCUGGGAAAAAGGUCCCACCUUGCCCCGUCCCCUUCUCUUGUCUCCAGAGACUGCCUUAGAAGUCAGAAGGCCUGGCUUCUGAAUGUUGCUCCUCUGUUCACCUACCUUGUGAUCUUGGACUAUGGUGGUAUUGUUGUAAGUGAGGUAAUAAGGUAGGAACAAAGAUUUAGUGAAGUAGAAUAUAUGAAUACCUGCAUUGCAGUAGCUAUCUAAUAUGUUUUAGACUCCAAAUUCCCCUCUUUGCUUUUGUAACCAGGAAAAGACUCAGGUCUUAAAUUCAUUUCCAAGUGCUCAGAAUCAUUAGCUAAAUGUUUGGUGGCCCUCAACAACUUCUUCAGUGCUGGUCAGUCAGUCAGGAAACAUGGGUCACUCACCCUCGCUGUACCCAUCCACAGUGGUCUUGGGUGGGGAUACCAGAGGAGAAUCCCUAGUGCCCCUCAAAAGCUUAAGCUCUGCCUGGGGAGAUGAAGUGAUCACAGCCAAGUGUUCCGAUCACAGUAAAGACUGGGUGUAGGGCUGAUGACCAAGGCAGUAUUUAUUUUGGAAAUUAAAAUGAAUCAAUAUUUUAACAUUUUUUGAAUUUUGAUAUUCUCCCAUGAGAAAAGUGGUGCUCCCUACAUACAAAGCCAGGGCAGGGCCCUCUCCCACCAUGCAGCAUUUUAUGGGGCUCCUGAUGCAAUCAUGGCAGUGCCCAGCAGAGGACAACCUAUCUCUGUCUCAUCUGCUUGGACCGGAGAACGUGGCAGACAUGGGUGGAGAUAUUGCAAACUUUUUUGACCACAGCCCACAGUUAGACGUGCGUUUUAUGUCACAACCCAGUAUAGGUUUGCACACAUGUAUAUUUUGCUAAACAAUACUUCCCUUACUACACAUGCACACUGAUCUAUUCCUAGUUUGUUCAGUUCUGUCUGAGUCUCAGUCAUUAAAAAAUGCUGCUCAUAACCCACUUGGCUGUUCUCACAACCUACCAAUAGAUGGAGGCCUGCACUCUGAAACCCACCAGGAGUCUAGGCUGGGGGGAGUGGGGGCAGCAGCCGAGAAUGUGGUACCUCCUCACACUCACCGAACCUCCCAGCCUGACUUCUUAAAAUAAACUCAGGAAGGAGUCCUUUAUUUGUUGACAGCAAAGCAGCAAAGGCCCCAGUACUUGUAGGAGAGGAUUUCUUCUUUGUGGGCCGUGCUGCCCAGCGGUUAAAAGUGCAGGCUCUGGGGCCUCAGGGCUGCCUACGUGGAGUCCUCCUCUGCCUCGCCCCAUUGGUGGCCUGGGCAAGCUACCCCACCCCUUUGUGCCUUGGUUUCCUCAUCUAUAAAAUGGGGAUGAUAAGAGCACCUACCUUGUGGGGCUGCUGUGAGACUAGGUGAGGUGGUUAGGACUGUGGCUGGCCCGUGGGAGGCGCUUGGUUAAAGGCCCCUCUAUUGAUAGCAACAGCUCUUUUUUCACUGAGAAACAAGGACUGCUGGAGAGUGCCAGUCACCAGGCAAAGCCUGCCUAGGUCAUUCAUUGAUUCACUGACCGAACAUGUGUUGAUGCCUGUUACCAAAGAUAGAUAAGCAGAGAGCUCAGCUCAGUUGAGCACACAGGCAAUUACAGUAAGCGCAGUAAGGGCUUAGAUCGUGAUCAGUUCUGAGUGCUCGGGGAGCUCACCAGCACCUGGGAGGACUCCUUAGCCCAGUGGCUCUCAGAAUGUGGUGCACAGACCAGCAGCUGUAGCACCUGGGAACUUGUUAGACAUGCAGAUUCUAAGGCCUUAAGCUAGAGGUGCAGAAUCAGACAUCCUGGGAGUGGGCCCAGCAAUCUAUGUGAUUCUGAUGCACACUCAAGUUUGAGAAUUAUUUGCCAAAGGUUACCAAAUUUCACUGCACUUUAGGGUCCUCUGGGACACUUUGGUCCAGGUUGCUCCCCAUACCAAUUUAAUCUCAGUGUGUGAGAGUGGGAGUCAGGCAUCAAAUUUUCUAAAGAUUCCAGGUAAUUCCAAUGUGUAGCAAAGAAAGCAACCACUGCCCUAACCCAACCCCAGGGGCCAGGGGUGCCAGGGAAAGCGGGAUCAGGGAAUUGGAGGAAGAGGGGAUGUUGUGUGAACAGAAACCUCCAACACAUUCAGGCUUGCAAGUAAACAUGGGUUGGAGGAGUGAAGGGGGCUGCUGGUGCUGGUAGAGAAUUCCAAAGGCUGUCAUCUAGUGUUUAAGGAUCUGGUCCCUAAAGACAAACCACCUAGGUGUGAAUCCUGCUCCACCAUUUACCAGCUGUGUGACCAUGGGCAGGUCAUUUAACCUCUACACCCUGGCUUCCUCAUCUACAUGGGAUUCCCAUGAGGAUUUGGCACAUAUAAGAAACGUUACUUACUCCUGUUGGGAUGGGAGUUAGAAUCAUAAGUUGAGCUAAAGGCCCAGAGCUGAGUCAGAAUAUGACAGGAGCAUAGUGUGGCAAGAGCUACCAUGGGAGACAUGGGUGGGCCAAAGCCAUGGGAGGCUUUAGCAUCAUGCCCUGGACCUGGAAGCAUUAAGAAGCCACUGGAGGGUCUGAGGCACCAGGAGCCAUGCUGAGACAGGCCUGAGAAUGUGCUAGAAAGUGGCAAGGCUGGGGGAGAGUGAUCAGUGAGGAGUGCAUUGCCAUGAUGUGCUAUGUGACAACAACCUACCUGCAGAGAGGAGGAUUGAAGAGUUAAGAUGGCAAAAUAGGCAGGCCCUUGGGGAUGAAUUGUACUGGAGGGUGGGAGAAGAGAAAGUGUCUCCAUCUCUGGGCUGCAUGAAUUGGGCAGUCUCGGUCCCAGCACCUGGUUUUCUCUGUUCUAUAGACAGAGGUCCCAUCUUAGGCAUGGUUGGGGUGGAAUGAUUUGAAUAUUGGAGUCACUCUUUGGCUGAAGGCAGUGAAGGCCCUUCCAGGCUUCCUUGACCACAGCGAUUGCCCUGGAAAUCGGACAGCAGCCACCUACCUGCCUCUCAAUAUUGUCCAUCCCCGCAUCUGUAGCAACUGAAAUACAAGCUUCUCAAGGCUGGAAAGGGUCUCCCACACCCCACCCCCUACCUCCCAGAAUGCCUGGCACAGUGUUUUGCUGAGCAGAUGUGGAGGUGAGGCCCCCUGAUUGGGUCAGGAGGAAAACACAGAAUUCAGUUACCAGCCAGGAAGGCCUUGUUGAGAAUUAGAUUAUCAGAAUUGUCAUCUGGGGCCUCAGUCCCCACGGGGCUCAGUGGGGGAGAACAGAGUGUGGACGCCUCACAAGGUUGCCCUUCUGGGUCUCGGGGUUGGGUAUAUCCCUCCGGGUUCUGAGAUGUGGCCCUUCCCACACUGCAGGGAGGAGUGGAGAGAAGAGCUGAGCCGUGCCUUCUGUGGCAGCUUUUCCUGGCACCUGAAAGCUGAAAGUGGAGGUGAAAGGAUGCUUCUGGCACCUGGUGGGCAGCAGAACCAGGCUGAGUGCUCAAGAAAAACCACUUAGCUGCCAAUGUCCUCCUCUCAGUGGGCCCAUGGAGUGUUAGGUGCUGUAUGGGAAGUACCAGAAAUAUUAAGAUGACAGCCCUGGAAACAAAAGGAGAACAGUACAAAAUGAAGGACUGGACUGUGUAAUGCAGAUGCUAAUGCUUGGGAAUUAAGCGACUUUGAGGACCCAGACAGACCCAGGUUUGGGAUGGUGACUGCCAUUCACUGGCUGAGGGAUGUUGAGCAAUGAGGAAACCUGAACCUCUCUGAGUCUCAGUCUCCCCAUCUGCUAAAUGGGGAUGAUAAUAACACCUGAUAAUUAAGUGAUUAAAACUUUAAUUAUAUUUUCAAAAGUACGAUACAGCGAUUAAAAUAAUUGAGUGAUACAUGUGAUGGGGUAUGUUUACGCUUAGAAGAGCGCCUGGCACAUGGUGAGCUCCCUAAAUAGUGGUAGCUCUUCCUGUUGCUGCUGUUCUCCUGUGGAUAUGAAUUAUAGGUGUUCGGGAAAAGGCGAAUCCACUGCAUAAUCCUGAAUGGCGAGAUGAGCAGCAAGGACUUGUAGGAUGAGCUAGAGAGGAGAGGAAGGACUGACUAGCCAGAAGGAACAAAAUGUCCUGAUUUUCAAAAGAGAAGACUGUGGUUCCUGGAAUGUAAGCUUAAUGUCACUCAACUGCAUUCUAGAAUGAGUAAAAAGAUGGUCUGGAGCACUUUAUAAAGAGCCAUACUCAUUCCAGAAUUAGUUUACUAGAUCAUAUCAAACCAAACUCCUGAUGACUUCAUUACCAAAGGAUAUAUAUUUUUUUCACUCACUCAACCUAUUUAUUGUUAGCAGUAAAUAUUGUUAGGAAAAAGCAAUGGGUAUCUGGUGAGGUUUCUUUCCCAUGCUGUCCUUGUGGACGGGAGAGAGAAAUGUGAGCAGUGCGAUGCACAGUUAGAUGAGGUCUGUAGCAAUAUAAGCAGUUUCACCCCAAGAGCUGGAUGAAUGGAUCAGGCCAGAGAAAGCUACUCCAGUCGUUGAUGAGCCUGGUGAAGUGACGGGGUGGGUGGGACAACAGAGUACAUGCUUGGCACUUAAGGAUUCAGCUAUUUAAGAACAAAACUUGAUUUGCUAUCAGAACAACAGAGAAAUAACAUUAUCCAUUAAGUGAUUUUUUUCUAAUGUAAUAUAAGCUUGUGGUAGAUAAUUUGGAAAAUAUAGAUCAUAAAGAAACAACUAAAAGACACCUGGAAUUCUGCCUGAAUGUCAUAAUUUAAUAGCAUGACCAAGAAGAGUGAUAGUGAGAAUGGGAAUUUGGGUGAUAUUUAAGAUAGUAAGGGGUUCAAGAUUGUUGACUCUAGAAAAGUGUCUUUGAAGAGUUGAUUGUAGGCUGUUGGAAGAAGAAUGUGUAGGUUAUUCUGUACUGUUCCAGGGGGGCAGAACUGGAAGGAAUCCACAGAGGCUCAGAGAAGUCGAUUUCAACUCACUGAAAAUGGAGGAGCCAUCCAGGAGUAAUUCUGUCCUCCAGUGGAACAGACUGCCUUGGAGGGUGGGAGUUCCAUUCAUUCAAGAAUUCAGGUAGAAGCUGGUUCUUAGUCACUUUCUUUGAAUGUUACAGAAGACUCCCUGCCCUGCUCUGGUCCCUUUCCAACUCUUAAGAUUUCGUGUAUCUAUAGGUCAAGACAUGGAGGCAGUAAGAAAUGUGUUGGGUUAUUCCUAAGGGAAUAAAGCAUGUUGUAAAACAGUGUACUCUCAAUUUUGUUGAAAGAAUACAGGUAAGUAUAUAUUCAUUGAAAAGAGAUGGCACAGAAAGCAUGUUAAUGCUUAAGACUUCCAGAGUUGCUUUUCAUCUUUGUACUGUUUUGAUUUUUCCAACUUUUCUACAGUUGACUUAGAUAAAAAUACAAUAAAUGUCAUAUUAAAAUAAACAUGUCUCCUACAUGUGUGAGGAUACUUUCUUUACUGAAACAAUAGAUUAGAGAGGAGAUGGGAGGGAGCAUUUUCUAGAAAGGUAAGGUGGAGUUGAUUAUAGAGAGCCUUGAAAGUCAGGGAGAACUGUUUAGAUUUGAUGGUCACCACAGUGGCAAUGAUAACGAACUUAUUUGCUGAACCAAAAUCUGAACUGAUGAUCUGACAAAUAAAAACAUUUAUGGAGUCAAAGGACAGAAUGCAGUAUUUGAAAUUGGAAAACUGGAAAAUCAGUGUUACAAUAGGGAGCCUUGUGAGGGUCUUAAGGGAAUGACAUUCAUUUGUUUGUUCAUUCAUUCAGUUGAGUGCCAUUUAUUAAACCCCAACUGUGUGUCGGAUGCUAUGCCAUGUACCUGAAGCAAUCAGACUUUUGGGGGUUGAAUGCGGGGCACACUAAGAGAUGAAGAUCAAAUGGCUAAUUAGUAGGUCCCUGCCUUAAUCCAGGUGAGAGGUUCUGAGUUUCAAGAAUGGAAGUGAUGAGAAUGGAAAUUCAAGUAAUAUUUAAAGAUGGUCUUUGCUUGCUUCACAGUUGUGCUGAGGGUCUUUUCAGCACCCUGAACAGGGUGGAGUGCACAAUAGGCACUCAACAAACCUUAGGCAGGUAUUGGGAAUCUUACUGAGGGGACAGAAGGGGCUGGAACUGAACCACAAAUGAUGAAAAGUUGUUUACUUAACAUUUCAUUGGAAUAGACAUUUCUUGAUUGCACACCAUAUGCCAGACAUUUUCUCAUUGCUGAAGCUACAAAGAUGACAGUCAGUCAUCCUCAAGGAAUUCGUAAGACCACUGUUUGGGGAGACACAACUGGAAACAAUGAAAGUAUUUAUAAUGAACUGAUAGAAGAGGAACUAAGGUGAACCUAGAUAAAGGUGUAAUUAGUCCCGCCUGUAGUGGUCAAGGAAGGCAUCAAAGCGGAGAUGACAUUUGAAUUGGACAUAUGAGGAGUUCUUUAGGAUGGCCCAGGGGUGGGAAUGGUGAUGGAAGGAGUUCCCAGCAGAUGGAAAAACGUUAAUGGAAAAACACAGAGUGGUGAGGGAAUGGCAAGGUCCUUCUCAGUUACUUUGUGAAUGCAUCUACUUCUAUUUAUUCCUUAAAGGUUGCUUAGACAUCUGUUGGGCUCUCACCUAAUCAGUCUUCCCCCUUCUGAAAACUGCUCCACCCCCCUCUACAUGGUUACAGCAAGAAGAGUAAUAAGGGCAUAUGUGUCUGCUCUUUGGGCCAGAGUCAGUUGGUCCAGGGGCCCAAACUGGGCCAAUCAGAGACCUUCCUGGGAUUUUGGAAUUGGGACUAGAGAUCCCAGUGCCAGUGAGUAUAAAUGUGUGGGCUGUGGUUCUUAUAUCCUAUUUUAAGUAAAAAUCACCAGUUUGCUGCGAGGAAGAAAUGAGGUAGAUAGGCCAAGAGAGGCGAAGAUGAGACGUUGGGAAAGGGGUUCUCUGCAUUUCCUCCAGGGGCCCAGUCCCUGGCUCCAGCUCAUUUAUGAAGCCCUAUUGUGAGGUCCAUGUAGGAUGCCUGUAACAUUUCUAUAUCUUUAUAUAAAAUCUCCCCUUUUUGUUUGUUAGUCUGAGUAUAUUUCUGCCAUUUGCAACCAAAGAGUCUUAACUAAUGGUUAAAUUGGUUCCAGUGGGAUUACAAGCAGUUCAUAGACAAAGAAAAUGUGAGAUUAACCAAGUAAAAGUGAGGUGAGGCCCAAAAAGCGUCCCCACAUCUGUAGUUGUGGUAGCAAAGAAAGUGGUUAAACUAUGGCCCCUUUUUCUUCAGUCUCAGACCAUGUACCCACCAAGACUUAGGGAACUGAACAGUAAAAUAGCACAAUAUCAGAGUGUGUUUCUAAUUCUUGUAAGGUGCCAAAAAGGGGACAUUUGCUUUAGUCCAGGGUAGAAACAAAUAGAGAAUAACAGUCCAUGAUGUAAUGGGACCCUUUCUGCUGAAAGUCACUAACCUGGGGUAGCUGAAGGAUCAGAAAUCUCUGUUCCAUACUCAAAGAAUCAAAAUUCUUUAUCACAGCCCAUUUCUGAAUCUGAGUUUAGUGUAUGGAUUAUGAAUCCUGGCUAUUGGAAUGGGGACAUCAGGGAAGAGUCCAAGGUAUUAGGGAAGACAGAUGCUCUGGACCCAUCCAAAAUACUGCUUGUUUUAUAGCCACCUUGCCUCCUGUCAUCAGGAAAACAUGCUGAUGCAUCUUGAGAUAAAGCUUGGUUAACAAGAAUACAGUUCCGACAUAAGGUCAAUAUCCCCGCCGCCACCUCCAUCCCAAAAAGCCUGACAGUUCUUUCCAGAACUCUAGUUCUAGCCUAUUGCUCUAGGCUUUCCUAGAGCACUGUCCUCUCUGGAUCAUGGAGUUGAUCUCACUUUUGUGCCAAGUUACUUGACUGUCUCCCUCACACUCUGAACUUCAUCAUUCUAGAGGUGUAUCUCCAGUGAGAAGUGCAGUGCCUGGCACAAAGCAGGAUUUGGUAUUUGUCAAAAUGAAUGAAUGAAUCGCAGAUUAGAGGGGAGAGAGCUUGGAGUCAAGACCUGCGAGAAGGCGGAUACGGUAAUCUCAAUGAGAGAUGAUUGGAGCCUUUAGUGGGGCUGUGACCAAAGAAACGGAUGGGAGAGCACAUUCCUCCUGAUUAGGUGGCCCUUGGGGCUGUGUGGGGACGUUUUCCUUUAUGAACAGAAGAUGCUUUGAAAGUCAUUUAAUAAGAAUAGGCCACACUUGACUCCUGCUGUGCCCAACUGGGUGGUCUGCAGUAGUGCUUUUCUCGGGGACUCACUCUCCACAGCUCCUUGCAGGGCACUCAGAACCCGUCUCUCAUACCCUCUUUGCCCUCUGAGGUAGCCAUUAUGUGACCUCACCUGCAGUGUCCCACCUCUGUGCACAGCUUCCUCUGGAAAUGCCCUCACUUGCUCAGGUGCCACUGCUUUUCCUUCAGAGCCCAGUUAGAACCACCUCUACCCCCUCCACCCCCAUAUUCCUGACACAUUUUGUCCCUUAUGUACAGCCUUUCCCUUGGCCAUCCUUGUAUCAGUAACAACAGUGCCAUUUCCUGUUCAGGAGUCUGCAGCUCACAGCAUGCUGUCACAGCUGCUUAGAAAAGGAUCAUCAGAGCGCCUUUUGCAGUGCAGAGAGUUGAAGUGGGCAAAGCUGGGACCAGAACCCAGGACUCAUGAAGCCAAAUUCUUUGAACUUGACACUUUCCCUCAAUGCCUCACUGAAGGAGUAUCCAUGGAACACGGUUCCCAUCUUCUGGCAUCAUGACACGAGGUGCAGGGCCAGAGGUUGUCUCACCGUGUGAACACAUCCUAUGAGGCCCGACUAUGGAAUAUGGAGGUAAUGUAAGAAAAAUGAGGUUUGAAAUGAUGGAGCCAGAAGCAAGUCUUGGGAACGUUCUUCAAAUAAUCAAAUGCAUAAAAUCAGAAGGUUUCUUAUCAUUUCCUAGUCAAAAUUGAAAUUCUCUCCUAUAACAAACACCAUACUUUUUUUUAAAAGUGGGAUCAUAUAAAAUAGAAUGUCAUAUUUUUUUUUUGUUUAGCUUUGUUGCUGAUUUGAACAAGAAAACUUGAAAUGCCUGAUAUCUGACAGCUCAUAUACAAAAGAGGUUUCUCCAAGUUUAGCAACAAUCCUAACAUUUACAUGGCCAAUAAUAAUUUGUGAAGGUGAGCAUUUUCUAAACUACCAAUAAUAAAACACAAAUUUGGAUCAACCAUGCUAGAGGAAAGACUAAACGUGGCUUUCUAUUUUCUCCAUUAGAAAAAAAUUACAAAAUUGUCAUAAGAAGAGGCAAUUAAAGAGUAUGCAGACAAAACACAUAAGAGAAAAGAAUAUUAGAGGUGGGCUGGGCUGCUAGUAAAAAUGCUAUGCUAUUUUAACGGAUUUUGUGGUAUUUGUGGUAUUUCUCAGCUUAUAAUUUGUAAUUUGCUAUGUUUUCUUUUCUCAUUCUAAUUAAAUGUUCAUGUUUGUAC